rnacentral:lncRNA from 1 species
AAAACUCCCUCUGUUGAUCCUCUUUUUGCUAAGUGCACUUCCUUGUUGUCUUUGCUUGUUGAUCCUUCAAGUGUUUGUAGUGUUUUUCAAGAAUGCUUGUUUCGGCCUUGGCUUUGUUUCCCCUUAGAAUCAAGGUUUUAAUUCUCCAAUUCCAGCACCUAUCAAAAUACUAGACCUUACCCAAGUCAAGUUUCCACUUCCUUGUUGUCUUUGCUUGUUGAUCCUCCAAGUGUUUGUAGUGUUUUUCAAGAAUGCUUGUUUCGGCCUUGGCUUUGUUUCCCCUUAGAAUCAAGGUUUUAAUUCUCUAAUUCCAGCACCUAUCAAAAUACUAGACCUUACCCAAGUCAAGUUUCCAUUCAAUUNNNN